rnacentral:rRNA from 1 species
UACGUAGGUCCCGAGCGUUGUCCGGAUUUAUUGGGCGUAAAGCGAGCGCAGGUGGUUUAUUAAGUCUGGUGUAAAAGGCAGUGGCUCAACCAUUGUAUGCAUUGGAAACUGGUAGGCUUGAGUGCAGGAGAGGAGAGUGGAAUUCCAUGUGUAGCGGUGAAAUGCGUAGAUAUAUGGAGGAACACCGGUGGCGAAAGCGGUUCUCUGGCCUGUAACUGGCACUGAGGCUCGAAAGCGUGGGGAGCAAACAGG